CGGACGGGUGAGUAACACGUGGAUAACCUACCUAUAAGACUGGGAUAACUUCGGGAAACCGGAGCUAAUACCGGAUAAUAUAUUGAACCGCAUGGUUCAAUAGUGAAAGACGGUUUUGCUGUCGCUUAUAGAUGGAUCCGCGCCGCAUUAGCUAGUUGGUAAGGUAACGGCUUACCAAGGCAACGAUGCGUAGCCGACCUGAGAGGGUGAUCGGCCACACUGGAACUGAGACACGGUCCAG
rnacentral:rRNA from 1 species